rnacentral:misc_RNA from 1 species
AUUGACUUUCCUUGUGUCUCAACACCCACAAGAAAUUUACCUUGGACUCCUCCAAUCCUGUUGCUAUUUCCUUCAGUUGCUCUGAUGAAAUCUCUGCUUGAGUCCCAAAGGCUACGUAUAAAAUUGAGUGCCCUUGCUCCAAAUUUUGAUCUAGCCACUGAAUCCAAGCGGAUUUCUUGUCUGGUUCACGUUCAACACUUG